rnacentral:misc_RNA from 1 species
UUCUGCUGCUGCUGCUGCUGCUGUUAGUUCUAUUGCUUCUUUUACUAUCUCCUCCAGCCAUCAACUUUUUUAUGCUCCACUCCUUAUCUGCUUGAUUCUCAGAUCCCUGAAACGAUGGCUUUGGAGAAACUUUGGAACCAUUUCCUCCUUUCACUUUCGUCUUCCAACAGAGAGAAAUAGGUACGAACAUCUUGAUCAUGAAAUUUUCUUUUUCCAUACUUUUACUCCUUGAAAUCUGCCCCGACUUAUCAGUAUUCUUUGGUUUUCUCUUUCUCUGUUUCUUGGUUUGAGUCUCAGCAGUGUUGAAAUGAAAACUAGUCCUUUCAGUUGCAUUCUCCUUAUUCACCUUAUUCAGAGUGAGCUGCUCAUCAACAAUAUCCUUCAAAGAGAGCUCGUAACUAGACUCUGGCAUGUCAUGAAUCCUCUCCAUGAGCUCCUUCCUAGCUUCUGCAAUGGCUUGUGAUUGCGAGGUCAAUGAAAUAUUACUGUAACGAUGGUUGUGGGGGAGCAAACGGGAGGUUUCAUUUCUAACAUAUCUUGAUGUACUUCUUUUCCAUAACCCUGAAUAAUCAUCCAACUCUUCCUCGAAAUGCCCUCGAAACUCCAUUUCACCACUGAAAUUCUCAUAAUACCGAGCAUCACCACCACCCCAGAAAUCGAAUUCUUCAUCUGCCUGCCUAUCAUAAUUGCUGCUCAUUUGAUAGUCUGGAUUAAAAGAGAAAAUCUGGUUGCAGUGAUCAAGCAUAGCUUUUUAGAGGAGAGGAUGCCAAGAAAUGUUUAGAGUUCUGAGAUCAACAUGUCCAUAAAAGCAACAAUGAUAGUCUUUUUUUAGUUGUCAUUUUUCUCCCCACGAGUUAUGUAGAUGGAACUCAAAAGUCAUUGCCGUCUCAUAUGGGAUGACAAGUAAAUGGUCCAAUUUUGCCAUUUUUCUCCAUGUGUCUUAUUCAAAUCUUUCUGGGGAAAAUUUGCCAUGACUCUAUUGGCAAUAGCCAAUAAGUGGACCAUCUCAAUUUCUAGUGCUUGUAGAUUCAUGGAGCUCCUUGUGCAUUGGUUCUCUUUCUUCACUGUCUUUGCCAUCUGGUGUUUCCAAAAUAAAAU